rnacentral:misc_RNA from 1 species
GAUGAAGAACGCAGCGAAAUGCGAUAAGUAAUGUGAAUUGCAGAAUUCAGUGAAUCAUCGAAUCUUUGAACGCACAUUGCGACCGUCAGUAUUCUGGCGGGCAUGCCUGUUCGAGCGUCAUUACGCCCCUCAAGUCCCCUGUGGACUUGGUGUUGGGGAUCGGCGAGGCUGGUUUUCCAGCACAGCCGUCCCUUAAAUUAAUUGGCGGUCUCGCCGUGGCCCUCCUCUGCGCAGUAGUAAAACACUCGCAACAGGAGCCCGGCGCGGUCCACUGCCGUAAAACCCCCCAACUUUUUAUAGUUGACCUCGAAUCAGGUAGGACUACCCGCUGAACUUAAGCAUAUCAAUAAGCGGAGGA